UCAAGUUACUAAGGGCACACGGUGGAUGCCUUGGCAGCCGAACCGAUGAAGGACGUGGCUACCUGCGAUAAGCCUCGGGGAGCUGGAAGCAAGCUUUGAUCCGGGGAUUUCCGAAUGGGGAAACCCAGUGGGGCGAACCCCCACUACCCACAGCUGAAUACAUAGGCUGUGUGGAGGGAACCUAGGGAACUGAAACAUCUAAGUACCUAGAGGAAAAGAAAGAAAACUCGAUUCCCCCAGUAGCGGCGAGCGAAAAGGGAAUAGCCUAAACCGGUCCCUACGGGGACCGGGGUUGUAGGACCGGCAACGUGGACUCGAGCGUCUAGUCGAAGCGCACUGGAAAGGCGCGCCAAAGACGGUGACAGCCCAGUAGACGAAAGACGCGGAAGCCUAGCCGGCACCUGAGUAGCGCGAGUCACGUGGAACCUCGCGUGAAUCUACGGGGACCACCCCGUAAGGCUAAAUAUUCCGGCUGACCGAUAGUGAACCAGUACCGUGAGGGAAAGGUGAAAAGCACCCCGGGAGGGGAGUGAAAUAGUACCUGAAACCGUGUGCUUACAAGCAGUCACAGCCCUAUGCCGCCUUCGGGCGGAACGGGUAGUGGCGUGCCUCUUGAAGCAUGAUCCUGCGACUUACUGGCAGUGCCGAGUUUAAGCCGUUAGGCGGAGGCGCAGCGAAAGCGAGUCUGAAUAGGGCGUUCAGGCGCUGUCAGUAGACCCGAAACCGGAUGAGCUAGCCAUGGCCAGGUUGAAGCUUCCGUAAAAGGAAGUGGAGGACCGAACCCGUUGAGGUUGAAAACUCUUGGGAUGAGCUGUGGUUAGGAGUGAAAAGCUAACCGAAUCCGGAGAUAGCUGGUUCUCCCCGAAAUAGCUUUAGGGCUAGCCUCGGGGGUUUACCAGUGGCUGUAAAGCACUGAUUGGGCUAGGGGGCUUACCAGCUUACCAAACCCUGUCAAACUCUGAAGGUCACUGGUCCAUACCCCGGGAGUCAGUCUGCGAGAGCUAACUUUCGUAGACGAGAGGGAAACAACCCAGAGCGCCAGUUAAGGUCCCCAAGUUGUAGCUAAGUGGUUAAGGAUGUGGAGACGCUAAGACAGCUAGGAGGUUGGCUUAGAAGCAGCCAUCCCUUUAAAGAGUGCGUAACAGCUCACUAGUCGAGUGUCUCUGCGCCGAAGAUGAUCGGGGCUAAGCUACACACCGAAACUGCGCCAUCGCAGCUAUGCUGCGUUGGGUAGGGGAGCGUUCCGUAUGCCGCCGAAGCGGUACCGUAAGGAGCCGUGGAGGUAUCGGAAGUGCGAAUGCAGGAAUGAGUAACGAUAAGAAGGGUGAGAAUCCCUUCCGCCGAAAGCCCAAGGUUUCCUGAGCAAGGGUCGUCCUCUCAGGGUUAGGCGGGACCUAAGGCGAGGCCGAAAGGCGUAGUCGAUGGACAGCAGGUCAAUAUUCCUGCCCCGCCGUCGUGGAGUGAUGGGGUGACGCAUUAGGAUAGGCCAUCCGGAGCUAUGGCUAUGCCCGGCGGCGUGCGAAGCCUGGAGGGAUAGGAAAAUCCGCCCUCCGCGUAGGUGACGUACGUCGGGAAGGCCCUACGGGGCUGAUAACUGGUUGAAUCCACGGUGCCAAGAAAAACCUCUAAACGUUGAAGCGACGGCGCCCGUACCAAAACCGACACAGGUGGGCGAGUGUAAGAGCACUAAGGCGCGCGAGAGAACCCUGGUUAAGGAACUCUGCAAAUUGGCCCCGUAACUUCGGGAGAAGGGGUCCCGCGUGUAGGGUUGGUCAUCCGACCUGCCCGAGGCGGGCACAGUAAACCGGCUCUAGCGACUGUUUACCACAAUCACAGCACUCUGCUAACCCGAAUAGGGGAUGUAUAGGGUGUGACACCUGCCCGGUGCUGGAAGGUCAACGGGAGGCGUGCAAGCGCCGAACUGAAGCCCCAGUGAACGGCGGCCGUAACUAUAACGGUCCUAAGGUAGCGAAAUUCCUUGUCAGGUAAGUUCUGACCUGCACGAAUGGUGUAACGACUGGAGCGCUGUCUCAACCAGGGACUCGGUGAA
rnacentral:rRNA from 1 species